rnacentral:rRNA from 1 species
UACCAGCACCCCGAGUGGUCGGGACGAUUAUUGGGCCUAAAGCAUCCGUAGCCGGUUUUACAAGUCCUCCGUUAAAUCCAGCUGCUUAACAGAUGGGCUGCGGAGGAUACUAUAAGACUAGGAGGCAGGAGAGGCAAGCGGUACUCAGUGGGUAGGGGUAAAAUCCGUUGAUCCAUUGAAGACCACCAGUGGCGAAGGCGGCUUGCCAGAAUGCGCUCAACGGUGAGGGAUGAAAGCUGGGGGGAGCAAACCGG